rnacentral:lncRNA from 1 species
UUAGGUCUCAUCUCACCAGCCCAUAAUUAUUGUAUGUGCUGCCUUCUGAAGCUUGCAGCUGGCUACAUCAGGAAUUCUCAGGGAUUAUAAUCCUCACCAAUAUAACAAGCCUCCAAAGUCAUAUUUUUUAACUUUUUGAAAUGCCCUUCCACCUAACUACCCAUUUGACACCUGCAGCCAUCCUCUAGAGAGGCAGACAAGAUCGAUCGUCUCACUUUACAGAAGUGCAAAGACUAGCUGGCCUAAUGACACAGCCAAUGAACAGAUGAAGGAGGCCUACAACCACCCAGUCUUCCCUACUUCUCCUCACUCCUCCCCUCCGACCUCCUUACGUCACCAGUGACCAAUGGAUCACUGUGUGGCCGUUCAGCAUCUUCCUAUGCUGUGUCAGGCAAGAGAACUUCUGGAAAGAGAGCAUCUCUUGUUUAUUAAGGAGACUGGGUGUCCUUGUAGAAAGUCCUGCCAUGCACAAUCCCAGUCUUAACUAAUGUGUUUCACCGUACUGAAGGCAAGCUGCCAUCUAACACAGUUGAAGGGGAGCCAGUUGUGGUGAUCUUUGUUCCUGCUGAAAUAUGGAAAGAAAAUGAGGAGAUGAGCUCAUUUUCAAAGAAAAUGAACAUUCUUUCAUAUGAAAGAAAUAGGAGCAAAGUGACAG